CUACCAUUUGAUCCAGCAAUCUCAUGAUUGGGCAUCUACCCAAAGGUAUCAAAUGCACAAUCUCAAAGAGAUAUUUUUGUCCACUGACAUUCGUAGCAUUGUCAUUCGCAAUGACCAAAAGGUGGAAGCAACCCAAGUGUUGACCAGUGAUGAAGGGUGAACCAGACGUGGCCUCUGCAUACAGCGGACUGUUAUUGAGCCUGAAAAAGGGAGGAGAUUCUGACGCAUGCUACCACAUGGAGAGCCUGGGGACACUGUGCUGACUGAACACGCCAUUCACAAAAGAUUGCAUAUGGAGCCCAGGAUGAAAGAGAGACCCUCAGCCAGUCGUGCCCUCCCCAGCAAAAGCCAGUCCUCGGCGACCAUGUGGUCCAUUGCGUAGAGAGGCUGCCACCGGGCUCGAAGCAGUGCGGCGCGUCAGGGUGGCAGCGGGGCCCAGGGCUCCACCGCGCUCCUGGUGUGCGACAAGCAGGGCCACGUCCACCCGUGUGCCAGGACCACCAUCGCUGCCUACCUGCCCCUCAAGAAAUCUGGAAGAAAUAAAGGACGCUGGCUGGUGGAUUACUACGUUAAUGAUGUGGCCCCAUCCAUGAAGGGCCCGCUGUUGUUAAAAUCAUUGACCCCAUUUAAUCAAUGACUGGCCAAUAUUUUGUGACUGUAGAUUGGCUGGUGUGUUCUGUUCAUUGUGUACAUCAACUGCCUUUAGCACAGCUUGCCUUCAGCUCCAAUGGGACAGAGUUUGCCCGUUCUAGGCCACCCCCAGGGGGACCUCAACAGCUCGGCCACCGCACACAAGCUUUGCAGAGAAGAGCUUAACUGCCUCCACCUUGCUCCAGGAGACAGGACACCCCAGACCCACGGCCCAGAUGACAUGGCCCAGAAGCUCACAGCUGGAGAUGACAUCACCUCAGACAGCGACGUCCCAGCCCGGGACCUCUCUAUUGGAGAUGGUGUCGCCCCUACACUAGAGACGACUGCACCUCAGACAGUAAACCUCCACCCCGGUGACACCCACAGAAUGCCUUUCCUAAGGCAUUGACAAAGUGGACAUGGGACAUUUUUUCCUUCGAGAUUAGGAACACUGUUGUGUCUGCUGAACUAUUGUCUGCCUGGCUCGCGAUCUGGGAACACUCCUUGCUCUCUGCCAAAAUGCGCACCCUCCCCACCGCGCCCAUAGGGAAAUCUGGCAGAGGCCGCUGCCAUCUGUGGCAUUCCCGAGUCAGUGCAGAUUGUGCUUCUGCCAGGAGCUACCUGCCUCAUGUCAGAGAACCCCUCGACCCCCUGGGAGAGGACCACCCAUCCCUGGUGACUUCUGCUCUGCCCGCCAGCUCCUCCAUGACCUCCUGCCCCGUGUCUGCGACCUUGACCACCACAACCCCCCCCCCAGUGUUUGCACGCACUGUGCUGGCCGCUCACUUCACACCCUCUAACCGCAUGACUGCUGGACCUGCCGCCUGACCCAAGAAAUACACCAAGAUGUUAUUGCCGAAGCAUUUUUGAGGUAUAUGUAUAUAUCUCAUACUCUUAUCGCACUUUCUGACUCUAUCAAGAUGUUGUUAGAGACCCUGGAAAUCUCCAGUCUGUUUUCCUGGCUAACGCCAUAUGAAUGAGAAACUCAGCUAUAGGCUGGCCCACACGGACUUCUUAGAGUUCUACCUGUGUUCCUCCUUUUACUCUCAUAAAGAAUGUUUUCUACACCUUUUAGAAUGAA